rnacentral:rRNA from 1 species
UGGGGAAUAUUGCACAAUGGAGGGAACUCUGAUGCAGCGACGCCGCGUGAACGAAGAAGGCUUCCGAGUCGUAAAGUUCUUUUAUAUGGGAAGAUAAUGACGGUACCAUAAGAAGAAGCCCCGGCUAACUACGUGCCAGCAGCCGCGGUAAUACGUAGGGGGCUAGCGUUGUCCGGAAUCACUGGGCGUAAAGGGUUCGCAGGCGGAAAUGCAAGUCAGGUGUAAAAGGCAGUAGCUUAACUACUGUAAGCAUUUGAAACUGCAUAUCUUGAGAAGAGUAGAGGUAAGUGGAAUUUUUAGUGUAGCGGUGAAAUGCGUAGAUAUUAAAAAGAAUACCGGUGGCGAAGGCGACUUACUGGGCUCAUUCUGACGCUGAGGAACGAAAGCGUGGGUAGCAAACAGG